rnacentral:rRNA from 1 species
UACGGAGGGGGCGAGCGUUAUUCGGAAUUAUUGGGCGUAAAGGGCGCGUAGGCGGCUCUUUAAGUCAAAGGUGAAAUCCCUCGGCUCAACUGAGGAACUGCCUUUGAAACUGAGGAGCUUGAGUCCGGGAGGGGGUAGCGGAAUUCCCAGUGUAGCGGUGAAAUGCGUAGAUAUUGGGAGGAACACCAGUGGCGAAGGCGGCUACCUGGACCGGAACUGACGCUGACUGCGCGAAAGCGUGGGUAGCAAGAGGA